UACAGAGGUCUCAAGCGUUGUUCGGAAUUACUGGGCGUAAAGGGCGCGUAGGCGGCCAACUAAGUCAGACGUGAAAUCCCUCGGCUCAACCGGGGAACUGCGUCUGAUACUGGAUGGCUUGAAUUCGGGAGAGGGAUGCGGAAUUCCAGGUGUAGCGGUGAAAUGCGUAGAUAUCUGGAGGAACACCGGUGGCGAAGGCGGCAUCCUGGACCGAGAUUGACGCUGAUGCGCGAAAGCCAGGGGAGCAAACGGG
rnacentral:rRNA from 1 species